AUAAUAAGCAUUAAUUCAUUGCUAAAUUAAAAUUAUAUCCAUCAAAAGAAGAGGUUAAUUUUCCUUGUUUCAAAUUGAAAUAAAAAUUGCAUCAUCUUGGAUGUAGCCAAAAAUUUUUUCUAUUUAUUUUAUGUGUAUAACAAUAUAUGAUAGGAACUGAACACUUGCCAGGAACACCUUUUACUCGAUAAUUUUUGGCACGACGCCAACAAUUUUUUCAUUGAGAAAUCAAACCAAACGUUGGGAUUUAUUCAAUACAUCAUCAUCAUCAUCAACAUUGCCAUCCGGUUUUAAUCUUUGACCGUUGACAAUAACUUUCAGCGUGUAUCUGUACUGUGUAAGCUUCUUUACUAAGCAAGGUUAGGGUUUAAUUAUUUUUCGACGAAAUUUAACGUUGAGUAUAAAGUCUUCGAAAUGUAUAAAACAAACAGAAUAAUAAAAUAACAGAGGUAAAAGAGAACAUAUAUGCUUUUUUACUCGGUUGACGUCAAUGUCAUAAAUCGAAGUUCAGACUUAAUUGGUAUAUUUUUUUUACCACCUGUAAAUAUCAUGAUUUAAUAUUCAAGAAGAAAUUAAUUAAUUCUGCUUGGUGAAUAAACGUCGGAUUUGAUUUGGGAAUAAUAAAUAUCUUAAAAGAAAGUAAUUUUUCUAUUUGAAUUCUAUGUAUUCGACUUGAACAACUAUAUUUUGUUAUCUGUGAAGAUUUGGCAUCAAGUUCAAUUCCGAAUGAUGUUUGAAUAUUUAAUUGAAGCAUUCUGAAGACAAAGAAAGAUUUAGAGUUACAAAUGCCAAGUAGCAUUUAUAUUAGCUAUGAAAUAAAAUCAUAGAGUAACUUUAGUUUAUUAAUAUCGAAUAUAAUUUGAUAAUUUGGUAAAUUAAUCUGAAAAUUAAGUGGUUUAUCUAUUAAAAAAAAUUUCAAAUAGCUAAUGAAUAUAUUUAUAUUCAUUUUAACAAAAAAAAAAACCUUGACAUUAAAUAGUUUAAAACAUUUUUAGCAUACGAAACUCAUUAAUCAA